ACACAUGGCAAGUCGAGCGGAGAUGAGGUGCUUGCACCUUAUCUUAGCGGCGGACGGGUGAGUAAUGCUUAGGAAUCUGCCUAUUAGUGGGGGACAACAUUCCGAAAGGAAUGCUAAUACCGCAUACGUCCUACGGGAGAAAGCAGGGGAUCUUCGGACCUUGCGCUAAUAGAUGAGCCUAAGUCGGAUUAGCUAGUUGGUGGGGUAAAGGCCUACCAAGGCGACGAUCUGUAGCGGGUCUGAGAGGAUGAUCCGCCACACUGGGACUGAGACACGGCCCAGACUCCUACGGGAGGCAGCAGUGGGGAAUAUUGGACAAUGGGGGGAACCCUGAUCCAGCCAUGCCGCGUGUGUGAAGAAGGCCUUAUGGUUGUAAAGCACUUUAAGCGAGGAGGAGGCUACUGAGACUAAUACUCUUGGAUAGUGGACGUUACUCGCAGAAUAAGCACCGGCUAACUCUGUGCCAGCAGCCGCGGUAAUACAGAGGGUGCGAGCGUUAAUCGGAUUUACUGGGCGUAAAGCGUGCGUAGGCGGCUUUUUAAGUCGGAUGUGAAAUCCCCGAGCUUAACUUGGGAAUUGCAUUCGAUACUGGGAAGCUAGAGUAUGGGAGAGGAUGGUAGAAUUCCAGGUGUAGCGGUGAAAUGCGUAGAGAUCUGGAGGAAUACCGAUGGCGAAGGCAGCCAUCUGGCCUAAUACUGACGCUGAGGUACGAAAGCAUGGGGAGCAAACAGGAUUAGAUACCCUGGUAGUCCAUGCCGUAAACGAUGUCUACUAGCCGUUGGGGCCUUUGAGGCUUUAGUGGCGCAGCUAACGCGAUAAGUAGACCGCCUGGGGAGUACGGUCGCAAGACUAAAACUCAAAUGAAUUGACGGGGCCCGCACAAGCGGUGGAGCAUGUGGUUUAAUUCGAUGCAACGCGAGAACUUACCUGGCCUUGACAUACUAGAACUUUCCAGAGAUGAUGUGCUCGGGAUCUAGAUACAGUGCUGCAUGCUGUCGUCAGCUCGUGUCGUGAGAUGUGGGUAGUCCCGCACGAGCGCACCCUUUCUACUGCAGCAUUCGAUGGGACUUUAGAUACUGCCGUGACAAACUG
rnacentral:rRNA from 1 species